rnacentral:snRNA from 1 species
GUGCUCGCUUCGGCGGCACAUACACUAAAAUUGGAACGAUACAGAGGUUAGCAUCGCCCCUGCGCAAGGAUGACACGCAACUUCGCAAGGCGUCCCACGUUUUA